rnacentral:rRNA from 1 species
UACGUAGGGUGCAAGCGUUGUCCGGAAUUAUUGGGCGUAAAGAGCUCGUAGGCGGCUUGUCACGUCGACUGUGAAAACCCGGGGCUCAACUCCGGGCCUGCAGUCGAUACGGGCUGGCUUGAGUGCGGUAGGGGAGACUGGAAUUCCUGGUGUAGCGGUGAAAUGCGCAGAUAUCAGGAGGAACACCUGAGGCGAAGGCGGGCUACUGGGCCGAUACUGACGCUGAGGCGCGAAAGCCAGGGGAGCAAACGGG